rnacentral:lncRNA from 1 species
GCUUAUCAUAAAAGUGCAACUCAACCAUAUUUAAUCGAUUCGAGAACUUGAUCUUAAAGAUUAAAAAGUACAAUAAGGCUACUCAGCCAAGUCUAAAAACGGGGUGAAAAACAGGCAUUUAAAUUUGUUGAGCUGGCACUUAAAAUACAAUAAAAAAAACAAUAUUAAACAAAAAGGGCAAAAGCAAGCUAAAACCAAACAGAAAUACAAAACCGGCUACUGCAAGGAAAAAGUCAAUUUGGCCGCUUCUCUCUCUAGAACCCCCAUUUCCAAACCCUCCCUCCUGUCGCUGCGAACAAUCAGUUGUAAUAUUAAGCAAGAUUUUAGUGCUAGUAGGACAUUCUUACUUGGUUUGCUGCACUUAUUGCUAUUGCUGGGUAUCUUCUGGUUUAGAAAAAAAUUGUUGUUAAGGUUGAUUUUAUUUUAUUUCCUUGAACGAAGUGCAUCAAUUGGAUAAGCAAAUCGGGAUUAAUUUUCGAAAAUAAAUUGUACUAAAUCACAACUAAAGCACUACUUAAGCACAGCAUACACUACCUAAUUACAACAAACAAACGAAGGCAUCAUAUGAACGAACAAAGCCUCGGUGGAAGCCAAAACUGAUGAAGUGUAACUCAGUCAUUUUACCAAUUCAAGACAAUACACAAAUUGCGAAUACCUAAUGAAUAAGUAAUCACAAGUAAUUUAUAUGAUGAAUUAUACAAAAUCACAACUAAAACACUACCUAAGCACAGCAUACCCAAUAACCAAGCCUCUCGAUACCCAAUUCAGUUUGGUUAUUCAUUGUCAACACUCAAGAUAAUUUUCAAUGGUUUGGAAAAAGAAUAGACUAUGUAAAUGAUGCUUUCCCAUUGUUAGGAGCUCCUGUAAUGUUGAGGAUGGUCGUAACCAUGUUGUAGAUCUCCACAUUCUUGAAAGAUGGGACAUUUCUCCCUCGAGCAAAUUCAGGUCCAUGAGCAAUAAAAAUGAUCCUCAUAGAGAAAAUUGCAUUGUCACAUCCAUGUGAUCCUCCACAUUCUUGCCUUUUAGAUGUCUUCUGUUCUACCUUAAGCCUAUAAUUGGUGGAAUUCAAUCACUAUCUGAAUAAUGCAUUCUACUACGAAGCUCCACUCCUCCUUCUGAUAAACUCUCAAACCCUCGUUUAUGUACUUUUUCUAACUUCAAACCCUUAUUUAUCUUAGCCACGAUAUCCUUCGGUUGAGAAUCGGAUGGUGGACAAAUCGCAAGCACUGGACUGUAUGAUUGCACCCACUCCUUCAAAAUCUCAAUCCAUUGAGCCAAAUCAUCCAAAAAGGUUAGUUUUUUAUCCACCAAACACCUUGUUUGUAAGUUGUAAAUAGUGAAUUCAAUUAAUGCAUAAAUGAUAAACACCACUAAUAUUGAGUUGUACUACUGUGAAAAAAAGGAGGAGGACAAUUAUAAAAUUGGAUUGAAAUAUUUAUUACAAUAUUAGAGGUGGAGUGAUUUUUAUACUUUAAAAAAAAUCAGCAAUUUAUCAUUUUCCUUAUCUUUAUUCAUUUUUAUCAUGCUUAUAACCUAUUGAUUUCGCCGGAGCGUACAUAUCUUGCAUAAAAGGUAUUUUCAACUUAUAAUGUUCCCCAAUACAUUCUCAACUUACAUUACUAUCACAGCCUGACAGUUCAUCUGCCAUUCUCGACAGAUUGUUUCUAUCAUUCUCGACACUUGUUCCGGAGUAUACAAAAAAAACUACAUGCAAGAGACAUAAAUGACAUGUUUAUGUUGAAGUUUUGGUAAAGACAUUAUCAAAUUUAUCCCUAAAAAGAUAGACUAUGCAUAACUUAUUACACAACUAUAUUUUAUUACUGCCCAUUUCAUUUGUUGUUGAUAUUUAAACCUUGUCCCUCACUUUCGUCAUCAGAAUAUGAAUCUUAAAUCAUGACUACCAUUUUAUUAUAAAGUUUCAUUUUUUAGUUAUCGGUAAUCAAUGAUCCUGAGUACUUUUUUAUAUUAAAUGUAGCACUUGUUGGAAGAACAUAUCAUUUACUAUUAGAGAACAUUGAAAUGUGUACAAUGUAAAUAGACGGCAGAAAAAAUGAUGAAUGAUAAAAUAAUAAGUUACCAUAUCAGAAAGAUAAUAGCAUUCACCCUACAUCCAGUAACACACAGCAUAUGAUGUUGACCAAAUUCAAAGUGUCUCAAAUGAUAAUGCACCAAAAACAUUAAUUUUUGAUAUUAGAGAUACAACAUUAGAUGAGAAUUUGGAUAACCCAUUAUUCCAUGUUGACACUUGAUAAACAAAUAAUUAAUUAAGCAAAGUUAGAUGUAGGCAUUAGUGUGUAGAAAUAUUACUACAGGCAUAGUUGUUUAUUAGACAAUAUAUUUCAUUAUUUGUCGACAGUUCAACCAUUGAUCACGACAAAUUGUAUGAAUAAUUUUUGACAGUUCAUCGCAAAUGAGUAAAUUGCACUAAAAAUUUCAACGUAACAAAUAUUCGGAUACACACCAUUAUAUAUAUGUGUGUGUGUGUGUGUGUGUGUGUGUAUUAUCACGUGAAUCCUGACAAAAAUAAGAGACCAUAAAUAUAGUCGACGCAUAAGCAUAAAUAGUUGCAAAAAUAACAAAUUCAAUUGUUACCAUUGAAUUUCACUUAGAAGCACACGACGUUUAAGUGACGGUUACAGCAAACUAAAAUAUUUGUGCACAUCACUAAUAAAAAUUGUAAAACAUUUUAAAGAAAAAAGCUACACAAACUACUAUCAUAGAACGUUUUCAUUAUGAAUAAACACAUUCAAAAGUAGCACCAUGUCAUUAACUACUUAAAACAACAUUUAUGAUAGGAUUUCACACUUACCUCGAGCUGUAAUCCAAUCACCAUUCUCGAUUUUGGCUAAUUCUGUUGGAGAAGAUGAAACCAUUCUUCCCAAAAUACCCCCUUUCGACUAUACUCCUCUGCCUUACACCAGUCCUGUCCCUCCGCCGAUGAAAUCAUCAAGAAAUGAAAAGCUUUCCUCAGCCCCUCCAUCUUCCAUUUUUACGAUGACCCAGUAAGGUUUUCUUUAUUGGGCUUGAAUUGUUUUAUUUUUAUUUGAUGGUGUGGUGGUAAAAAAUGUGUUAUUGUUUUUUUGCAGUUAUAUUUGGUUGAUGGGAAAAUGCAGUAUUUGUUUGAUGAAAAGGGUAGGUGAUAUUUGGAUGCUUUUGGAGGAAUAGCCACUGUGUGUUGUGGGCACUGCCAUACUAAAAUAGUGGAUGCAACUGUUAACCAAACAAAAUGCCUUCAGCAUUCAACCAUUUUGUAACUAAAUCAUGCUAUUGUGGAUUUUCCUGAGGCUCUUGCAUCAAAUCUCCACGGGGAUCUCAAGGUUCAUUCAUUUAUUAAAUUGUUUCUUGAUAAACUUUUUGUAGCAGCAGAUGUAUUUGUAAUUUAUCUUAAUUGAUUGGGUUGGGUUUAUUUUGUUAGGUUUUUUUCUUUAGAAAUUCUGGGACGAAGGCUAAUGAGCUAGCUUUGUUGAUGGCACGGUUGUACACAGGUUGUCACGAUGUUAUUUCAAUUAGGAACAGAUAUCAUGGCAAUGCAGCAAGGACAAUGGGAGCCAUAGCCCAAAGUAGCUACAAAUUUAAUGUCGUUCAUAUCUCUCCUACAUAAGAAUGUGUUUCAGUCUUGUUAUAAGUCAAAGACUUUAUGGUGCCUAUACUGAAGGAGUGUUCAGGUUGUACUAUGUGCACUUAGUACAGAUCAUCCACAUGAUAUUGUUACAACAUAAAUGAUAUAACAACUUUAUAAUAAUCAAUAAGUUUUGACAAACUAGUUGUGAAUUUCUUGUCUUUAUGACAAUGUAUGUUCUUAUGCGAAUUGGACUAUUGAGAGUUGCAUAUUGCGGCUUCUGGAAAAAAAAAAAAAAAAAAAGAAGCCCUAACACGGGAAUUAUUAUUUAGAAAGUUGGAUGGUAAUCAUAAUUUAGAAAAAUUAUUAUUUUCAGAAACCAAGAUUUGGCUUGUUACUUUCUUCUUAUGAAAGACUUUGAGUGUUGUAAUUGGAAAUUAUUUCUGUUUGUAUUUGAUUCCAUUUCUGUCCUCUGUUAACGAUAGACUGGAGUUCACUGUGCUCAAAACCUUGACCAGUACAGAGGCAUCUUUGGUUCAGAUGGAUAAAAGUAUGCAACGGAUGUUGAUGAUAUGAUCACCUAUGGAACAUUUGGUUGUAUUGCUUCAUUUAUUGCAGAAGCCAUAUAGGUGCUAAUUUUACUUAAGUAUAUAGAAAAUUAAAUUGCAAUUUGCAUGGUUUUAUCUUGCUUUCAAGGUAUGGUCUCAAAAAUUUUCAUUUAUUCAAUAUAA